rnacentral:lncRNA from 1 species
AUGUUCCUACCUGCUUUCUUUGUUCCAAGUACGUUAGCCUCCUGUCAACACCAUCACAAGCUGAGUUCAUCCGACCUCAAGGACUCUGCACAUGCUGGUCCUUCUUCCUGGAUUGUGCCCAAUCUCCACCCCCCUUCCAAUGUCAGCCAUUUGACUCUGUGGCUCCUAACACCUACGAGAGACCUGAGAGGCCCUUGGAAAGGAGUGACUGAGAGCAGCACGGUCCCUAACCAAGAACAGACACAUGUGCAGGCCAGAUUCUGUGUUUCCAAGGUAAAACGAUCUGUGAUUAGUAUCUUUGUCAUGGAGAACUCUGGUUUAAGAACAAUUCUAGCACUUGGGUUGGACAUCCCAUCACUAGGGACUCAUUCCUUUAGGUAAUAUCAACGCUGUAAGUUCCCCUCUUAAAAUGCAAACUCCGUGAGAGGCAAAAGAGUAAGUCCCUCACACUUCAGUGUCAAGCUUAUUUCAUUCUCGACUCUAGAAAAGUCUUUGAAAGAUAAAAGAUAUGUGUGUUGGGGGCAAGGAGAGGAAAGUAUGAAAAUUGAGGAACUAGAAGAAUGAGAAAAAAGAGAGACUUGAAAGACCAUCUUUAGAGAUUUCAUAAUUAUGCCAAGGACUAUCAGUGUAAAUAUGCCCAGGACACUCAUUCCCCGGGGUAACUGAAACCAUAUAGUAAACAAAUGACAAGACAAUUCUGUGGAAUUCUGUGGAAUAUGAACCACAUGAUCUAAGCUGCAACUAAGCUCAAAAAAUGUAAAGAGGUUAAAAGUCAGAGUAUGAGGAAGAGGGUGAACCCAGAGAGAUACCAGCAUUAUUCAAAACAAUAAUCCAUUUGGAAUUUCCAAUAUUCAGCUGACAGUAGCCAUUGAUCAAAUUAAUCAGCUGCAUUUUGCAACUCCUAAUGAAAUAAUGGAUCUAGGCAGUAAUCAUCAACGACUGCUAAAACCCCUGAUUAAAUGCUGCUGGGGACCGUAUAAUGGAUGGGUCAAGCUGACAACAUCUGGACUCACUGAUCAGUCUUAACAUCACAAAUGAGAGACAACCAGACAGUAUGUGCCUCCCGAAGUGAUGCAGUAGCAACUGCAUAGCACCGUCUAUGAAGUUGUCUUGCCAAAACAUGGAAGCCAAAUCUGAUCAAGCUUCCAGCUCAAACUAUUCAUCUCCUGGGAAAUCCAGAAGUGGAGAAACAUGAGGAAGCUAUUUUGGGGACGCAAUCAGCAAAAUCCAGAAUGUGGGGCAUUCUACAGAUAAAUGAAUGACAAGGAAAAAAGACAGUAGGAGGAGGAAAUAUUUGAUUGAAGAGAUUUAGGAGACUUAUCACCCAGAUGCAAUUUGUGAUCGUUGUUUGGGUUCCUUAGUUAAACAAACAAACAAACAU